rnacentral:ncRNA from 1 species
AGCACUUUUAACAAUGUGCUGACAGAUGUAAGUCCGACGUGCGACACCGCACUGCCAAAGAUGGCUUUGGGAUUAC